GUAAAUACGAAAGAACCUUCACCAUUCCAGCUUAAUGCAGCUAGCCUGAUUUGUUCAAAAUUCACAUCAACUCAUAAGAAGUCAACUAGUAAAGUAAACUACUAAAAAAUGAUGUCAACAAUCAAAAGCAGAACAUUCAAUUAAUACUACAUCCUUUCUCACAUAAAGUUUUGAAGCAAUUUCGUUCAUCGCACGCCACUCUUCAUUAAAACCUUUCUAUAUAGUACACACUAAUGGAAUUAAUCCUAAGAUUUGUUACCUAACAUUAUCUGCAUAAUCUUUGGUCCGGGAAGGUGGAGCACAAUAUAAGACAUUUCAAAGAUGGAUUAACACCCAUUUGAAUCAACUCAUUGUAAGUCACAUUUUUGUGUAUCCAUUUCAAAGACGGAUGACAAUAAGAAAUAAGAUAAAGAAGAAGAACGAACACCACAUUUUUGUGCAUCCAUUUCUGACCAAAUUUAAUUACGUCUUGGGGGAGAGCAUCUCUUCAAUUCAUCAUCAAUGAGUAUCUUACAAAGCAAUACAAGGGUUACAAGUAAUAAGCCUUUAACAAUAAACCCUAAUUUCUACCUUGUUCUCAAUCUCUUCUCUUAAAUAGGAAACUCAAUGAUUUCAUUCUCCAAGGUGUUUAGAAUAAUUCAAAAUCCAAGAGUGUACCACAAAAACACUCGAUUCUUAACUUUUGACUAGCUAAGAAUUUUUUAUUUUGAUGAAGCCUAGUUUGCUUCACU
rnacentral:lncRNA from 1 species